GGGAAGGUGGCUCAGUGGUAGAGUGCUUGCCUAGCAUGCAUGAAGCCCUGGGUUUGAUUCCUCUGUCCCA
rnacentral:tRNA from 1 species